UAUUGGGCGUAAGAGCUCGUAGGCGGUUUGUCGCGUCUGCCGUGAAAGUCCGGGGCUCAACUCCGGAUCUGCGGUGGGUACGGGCAGACUAGAGUGAUGUAGGGGAGACUGGAAUUCCUGGUGUAGCGGUGAAAUGCGCAGAUAUCAGGAGGAACACCGAUGGCGAAGGCAGGUCUCUGGGCAUUAACUGACGCUGAGGAGCGAAAGCAUGGGGAGCGAACAGGAUUAGAUACCCUGGUAGUCCAUGCCGUAAACGUUGGGCACUAGGUGUGGGGGACAUUCCACGUUUUCCGCGCCGUAGCUAACGCAUUAAGUGCCCCGCCUGGGGAGUACGGCCGCAAGGCUAAAACUCAAAGGAAUUGACGGGGGCCCGCACAAGCGGCGGAGCAUGCGGAUUAAUUCGAUGCAACGCGAAGAACCUUACCAAGGCUUGACAUGAACCGGAAACGCCUGGAAACAGGUGCCCCACUUGUGGUCGGUUUACAGGUGGUGCAUGGUUGUCGUCAGCUCGUGUCGUGAGAUGUUGGGUUAAGUCCCGCAACGAGCGCAACCCUCGUUCUAUGUUGCCAGCACGUGAUGGUGGGGACUCAUAGGAGACUGCCGGGGUCAACUCGGAGGAAGGUGGGGACGACGUCAAAUCAUCAUGCCCCUUAUGUCUUGGGCUUCACGCAUGCUACAAUGGCCGGUACAAAGGGUUGCGAUACUGUGAGGUGGAGCUAAUCCCAAAAAGCCGGUCUCAGUUCGGAUUGGGGUCUGCAACUCGACCCCAUGAAGUCGGAGUCGCUAGUAAUCGCAGAUCAGCAACGCUGCGGUGAAUACGUUCCCGGGCCUUGUACACACCGCCCGUCAAGUCACGAAAGUUGGUAACACCCGAAGCCGGUGGCCUAACCCUUGUGGGGGGGAGCCGUCGAAGUGGGACUG
rnacentral:rRNA from 1 species